CGGAGAUCACGCCACUGCACUCCAGCCUGGGCGACAGAGCAAGGUUCCAUCAAAAAAGAAAAGAAAAGAAACCGGCGGGCCAUCCGCGGCGGGUCCAGCUCCGGUCGCAGCAGCUGGGACCCACACCAGGCCAUUCACUGGGGUGCCAUAGGGCAGCUGCGUGCAGUGUUUGGAUAGCAGGACGCAGACGGCGGGGUCGCGGGGCUUCGGGGUGUCCUCGGCCCCAGGCCGUCCAGCCAUGUGGACCAAAUGAAGUCCCGCACGCCACGUGCUGAGGUACUAGUGGGUGCCCCUCGUGCGGGGUCAGCCCUCCUGCAGGCGGUGCUCACGGUACGGGCUGGCGAAAGUGGAGACGGACGGCAGGAUGGAUUCACUUGGCCACAUGGCCGGGAGCUAGGACGACUCACACCGGUGAGUGGCUGCCCGGGUGGGCUGGUCGGGGCGCGGGCAGGGGGGCAUGGUUCUGCCAAGGAUUUUGCUUUGUUUAUCGCAAGAUGGGGGUAUUUCCUCCUUUCUGCAGUUUAUAAUUGCGUGAAUUAGUGCAGUGAAUUGAGGAUGCAGUAAAAAUAAUAUCUUCAAAGAUUAUUAAAUUCGUUAUUAUAAAACACAUACGAGUUUACGUGUGUGUAUGGAAAGCAGGUAUACAUCAAAAAUUCUUAAUGAAUACAAGAAAGAGAACUACCAAUAUUGGAGCAAAUUUUUCAAAUACAAACACCAGUGAAUAUAGGCAAGGCCUUUUCUUUUAUUAUUAUUACUAUAAGUUCUAGGGUACAUGUGUACAACGUGCAGGUUUGUUACAUGGGUACACAUGUGCCAGCAAGGCCUUUUCAAUAAUGUCUUACAAGGAGAAACGUGGCUCCUCUAGGUAAACAGCCCUUAGUGCGCAUCUCCCUGAAGUCCAGAUGGAUCCGGUAGAGCUGUGGGGUUCACAGCUCACACUGAGGCAUUUAGGGCCUAAAUGCCACUUUACUUUUUUGUACAGUGAGUAGGAAAUCAGUGAUCUAAAUGAGUUUAAAUCUUAUUAGGGAUUUGAACUGCGCUUCAGACUCUGUCUCUAUUCCUCCCAGAGCUAGAUUCAACAUGAAUUAAAAUACAAAUAUAAAACGAUGAAUUAUGAUAGUGACAAAGACCUUCCUUCGAACUUCAGAUUUUUCCAGCAGCCCCUUUCUUUCUGUUUCCCACCUGCCUUCAACUCUUUCUCCUAAAAAAGUUCAGUUGGGGUGAACGUUUGGUGACUUAGAACAUCAUUAUUUUAACAUGAUCCCAAAGCGGUUUUCAUUAUAUGCAAAGAUGCAUAUUUAUUUACAUUUUAAAAAAUGUUCUAAAUUGGUUUCUUACGUCCAAAAGAAGGGGAGCUAGUUAUAAGAAAAGAGAAUUGAGUAAGGUAAGAAAGUGCUAAUCAUUUCAAAUCAAAGUGGGAAACAUGCAAAGCAGAAAGAAUCAACUUCAUAAACUCAACAAAUUAUUAAUGUAAAUAAUUCCCAACUCCUGUAUCUAUAUAACAUUAGUGAUCUGUGAGGUGAACUGAGAUUCUGAAUAAAAAGUAAAUAAUAAGACCAUUUUUCUAAGCCAAAAAAGUUUUUGUCUUAUUAAUUGUGGAAUUUCACCAAUUAAUUUUUUUCAAAUAAAAUUUCUUAAACUUUCAGUGCCUACUAUUGCUUGUGGGUUAAUAAACCCUAGCAGAAAACAAAAUCAUCAAGGAAAUGGUAAACAUUAAUGGGAAAUUUGUGUAACCUUAAUUCUUAACGUCUUAUUAAUUAAUUUUUAAAAUGUGAAGGUGUAUUCUUGGUGUUUGGUAAUUAACUAAGUUUAUUAACCUCUCACAAAUAUGAGGAAUUUUAUUCCCUAAAGGAACAUGAGGAACACUAGUAGUUCAAGAAAAUGCUGAAGGUGACCUUGGCUGAGAAGCUAGGAUAGGCUGACGAAGUCAGACUUAGUGUAGGAACCUGGUAAGCGAUGGAUCGAUGUUAGCUGUCUUCACUUAUUGCACUAGUAUAAUCAGUUUGAUGAUACAUACUUUAGCCCCAGUUGUUACUUAAGACCUGGUUUCACAUUUUAUGUUCUUUUUCCUGUGCAGGCUGGGAAAGGGUUUCUUCUGGCCAUAAAAACUACUCCAAUGGCUGUGGCAGACUAAAUUCCAAUUCCGGUUGAUACAGCCAUCAAUCUCCCGCUAGCUGGAGGAUGGUGUGCUGCAGUUCACAGGUGUGGAUGCUCAAGUGGGCUUUCAAAGAUUUCAUGAGAGGGAGGGUUCAUCUAUUAGGCACAUUUUCCAAAUAUAGGCAUUUCAUUGUAUAAGACCCCAAAUGUGAGAGGGUGUUCAUUUCAAUAUUUUAUAGAGUUCCUAAUAUGCCAUCAUAUAUAUGUUGAGUUGUUUUCAAAAUACAGUUUAGUACUUGGCUACUCACAAAGUAAUAAAACAUUUAAAUCACUUAACCAAAAAAUUCUUGAUAACCAAAAGGCUUUUCUUUCUAUUGGUAGUUUAACAUUCAGCCUUCUUUUUUAGGGCAAAGGAGAUAGAACUGGAUGAAAUGAGAGAAUAUUUUUUUUUAGUUGAACUCUGGUUAAUGCCAAAAGUGUUCAAUCACUAUGUGUGGGGAAGUUUCCUGGUACAAAGGAAAAAAAGAAAAACAGGUUGUUCAUACAUUUGGCUGCGUUAGUAAGUGGUAAACAGAAUUAAAUUUUUCUUAUGUGAACUCACACAUAUGUGCUUCAUAAUAUGUCACUCCUAUUUAACACAUGUCUUUCACACACACACGCACCCCCCCACACACAGCCUUUUGCUACUCUUCUUCCAGUUUGCUUAUUAACCCAAAGAAAGAAAAAAAUACAGAAGCCUUCUUGCAUAGGUUGCCUUAAUCAGAUGAAUUAUGGAAACAACUCUGUCUCCCUUAUUUUUCUUUCAUUAGUUUUCCAUUCUGUUGUAUUUAUUUAAUUUUUAUUUCAUUUUCCAGACCUAAGUCAAUGUUAGUCUACCACUGUACAUCUGGUAACCUCAAUCCCUGCAAUUGGGGCAAAAUGGGAGAAAUAUACAUCAGAUAUGGUUGAGUGCAGAAAAAUAAAGGAGAUUAAAGAAGUAAAUAGUGUUGUGGGAAGGCUGCUAUUUGAUAUGUGAUGGCCAAAGAAAGUCUCUCCGAUAAGGUGUCUUCUUAGUAGAGACCUGAAAUAAAUGAGAGGGCAAAUCAGAAGGACAUGUGGAUGAAAUAUUCCAAGUUGAAGAAACAGAUUCCAGGUCUUGCCAACCUUUGAAAUUCCAAUUCCAUUUGAGAGAGCUUUUAGGAGGCCAUAUGCUGAUUUCACCACCAGCAACUUCACAACCCAGUACUGGAAUGCCAUCAGCCACCAGGCCCCUACCAUCAUCUAUGACUUCUAUCUGUGGCUUACUGGAAGGAAACUCAGGGCCUGUGCAUGCCAGACAAGUCCAAGCCAGCUCAAAGAACAACCAGCCACUUCUGCCACCUGCCACCUCUGCAAACUGCCACUUCCUGCUGGCAGGAUUUGUUUUGCAUCCUGUGAAGGGCCAAGGAGGCACCAGGGCAUAAGUCUACUCACUUAUAUCUGUUUGUCUGGAAUGUAACCCAUGUUUGUUUGUACAAUAAAUAAAAUUGAUCUUGAAUGAAAA